rnacentral:tRNA from 1 species
GGGCCUGUAGCUCAGUGGCAGAGGGCUUGCCUAGCAUGCUUGAGGCCUGGGUUCUAGUCCCAGCACCCUUG